rnacentral:rRNA from 1 species
UACGGAGGGUGCGAGCGUUAAUCGGAAUUACUGGGCGUAAAGCGUGCGUAGGCGGAUGAUUAAGCGAGAUGUGAAAUCCCGGGGCUUAACCUCGGAACUGCAUUUCGAACUGGUCGUCUAGAGUAUUGUAGAGGGUGGUGGAAUUUCCAGUGUAGCGGUGAAAUGCGUAGAGAUUGGAAGGAACAUCAGUGGCGAAGGCGGCCACCUGGACAAAUACUGACGCUGAGGCACGAAAGCGUGGGGAGCGAACAGG